GACGAACCGCCCGAACGUUGUUCGGAAUCACUGGGCUUAAAGGGAGCGUAGGCGGGCUGCCAAGUCCGGGGUGAAAUCCCCAAGCUUAACUUGGGAACUGCAUCCGAUACUGGAUGGCUUGAAUCCGGGAGAGGGAUGCAGAAUUCCAGGUGUAGCGGUGAAAUGCGUAGAUAUCUGGAGGAAUACCGGUGGCGAAGGCGGCAUCCUGGACCGGCAUUGACGCUGAGGAGCGAAAGCUAGGGGAGCAAAGCGGG
rnacentral:rRNA from 1 species